CCCCGUGAGCCCAGUGGUCACCGUGUCUUUGGUGCCCAUGAGGACAGCUUUUGAUGUGUCCAGGCCCCCUUGGACAGCUCCCUUGGCCACAUUCACAGCUCCUGUCAGUCCACUGCACACGGUGUCCUUGGUGCCAGUCAGCACAGUCUUGGUGGUGUCCAGGCCGGUCUGGACAGCUCCCUUGGCCACAUUCGCUGCUCCCGUGAGCCCAGUGGUCACCGUGUCUUUGGUGCCCGUGAGGACAGCUUUUGAUGUGUCCAGGCCUGUCUGGACAGCUCCCUUGGCCACAUUCGCUGCCCCCGUGAGCCCAGUGGUCACUGUGUCUUUGGUGCCCAUGAGGACAGCUUUUGAUGUGUCCAGGCCCCCUUGGGCAGCUCCCUUGGCCACAUUCACAGCUCCUGUCAGCCCGCUGCACACGGUGUCCUUGGUUCCGGUCAGCACGGUCUUGGUGGUGUCCAGGCCCCCUUGGGCAGCUCCCUUGGCCACAUUCACAGCUCCUGUCAGCCCGCUGCACACGGUGUCCUUGGUUCCGGUCAGCACGGUCUUGGUGGUGUCCAGGCCAGUCUGCACUGUGCCUUUGGCCACAUUGACUGCCCCCGUGAGCCCAGUGGUCACCGUGUCUUUGGUGCCCAUGAGGACAGCUUUUGAUGUGUCCAGGCCCCCUUGGGCAGCUCCUUUGGCCACAUUCACAGCUCCUGUCAGCCCGCUGCACACGGUGUCCUUGGUGCCGGUCAGCACAGUCUUGGUGGUGUCCAGGCCGGUCUGGACAGCUCCCUUGGCCACAUUUGCUGCCCCCGUGAGCCCAGUGGUCACUGUGUCCUUUGUGCCCACGAGAACGGCCUUUGAUGUGUCCAGGCCCCCUUGGACAGCUCCCUUGGCCACAUUCGCUGCCCCCGUGAGCCCAGUGGUCACUGUGUCCUUUGUGCCCACGAGAACGGCCUUUGAGGUGUCCAGGCCCCCUUGCACAACCCCUUUGGCCAUGCCCACCACCCCCAUGACCCCUCCAGCCACCGUGUCCUUGGCGCCUAUCAGGGCUGAACAGGUGGUGUCCACGCCUCCCUGCACCACCCCCUGGGCUGCAUCCAUCAGGGUGGCCAUCCCGGAGGAGGCGGCUUCCUUAGACUUGGGCACCUGCUGGGGAAGGAGGCAUAAGUCAGCAGGACGGAGGGGCUCCCCGCCAUCCCCACUCCCUGCACCCCAACCUCAAGUGCCUCCUGCCCCCCACCCGCUGCCCAGUGCCCUCCUUGGCCUUCUGAGGCUCUCGGCACACUGAGCCGAAAUGAUUCCUUUGUACCUGGCUUGUAGGACCCCAAUAUGGAAACCCCAUUAUAGAAAGCAGGCCCCAAUACCGCUGAGCCCAGGCCAUAGCCAAGUUAGGGGAUCACACGCCUGUUCAGCUGGACUAUUCUCUCUGGCAGAUUCUGAACCUGUGCACCCAGCCACAGAGAAACCAAAUUGCUCACUAAAAUCAACAUUAAGCCGGGCGUGGUGGCGCACGCCUGUCAUCCCAGCACUCGGAGGCUGAGGCAGGAGGAUCGCUGGGAGUUCGAGACCAACCUGGGCUUCAAGGCCAGCCUGAGCUGCACAGCGAGACCCUGCCUCAGAAAGACGAAACAUAAAGUCAGCAUCAGCCAAGUGGAGCAGGAGGACUGCGCAGGUUCAAACCAAGAGCGCACAGUUUCCUGAGCCCCCGUCUUAACACGGGAAAGAAAGGGGCACAGGAGGACGCCGGGCUCCAUCGGGAAGUAAAUUCAAGCAGAGGAAGUAAUGGAGGCUUAGCAAAGUAAGCAGAGGUCGUGUGUUCGAGCCCUGCCACCAAGAAGACAAGGAACUAGAGAAAUAAAAGGGUUGCGUUGAGACCCCAGAGCUUGUGGGUGGCCUUGGCCUCCCCCGGGCAGAUGUGUGCGCGUUAACACUUGAAAUGAAGAGGUGACCGCCGCAGUUACCGCCCCUUAGAUGUGGCCCGGAAUGUGUGGUUUUAGGGGGUCUCAUCUGGGGUGAUACUGCCCCCCCCACACGGGGAUAUCGAGCUCUUUGCAACCCCGGGCCCUGGCCCUGGGGGCUGGCGGGUCAAAUCAUAGGUCUUUCUCAAACUUGCGUGUGACCCUGGCCCGGCUUCAGCCCCUCUCUGAGCCUGAGCUCUGCACUGAAAAGUGAGAUUUUUCUUGUUUUUGUUUUUGAGACACGGUCUCACUGCGCAGCCCAGGCCAGCCUCAAACCUGCAGUGAUCCUCCUGCUUCAGCCUCUCCGAGCUGGGGUCACAGGUGAACCCCACCACACCCUGCCAGAAAAGUAGUCUUUAUUUUUAUUUUUUUGUCUUUUUCCUUUUUAUCGGUACCGGGGAUCAAACUCACGACUGCCUGCUUCCAAGGCAGGCGUUUUUGCCGCUGAGCUAAACCUCCAGCCCCAAAAGUAGCCUUUAAAAUGGUCCUGGCCUUGCAGGGUGGGGGCGAAGUGGGGGGCCCCUGGUGCCCCGAAUACAGCGGCCCCCGGGGUGUCAGUUGGUUUGGGCUGGGACAGGCUGCGGAGGGGAGGCGGGGUGUCAGACCCCCCAGCCAGGUUGCUGUGUGAGCUUGAGCAGCAGCUCGGCUUCUCUGUGCUGCCUCUGUGCUGUGGGCAGGAGGGAGGAGCCCAGAGCCACCACGUUGCUGACACACAGUGGCCCCCACUCCGCGGUGAUAAAGGGGACCUCGAGGGGAGGCCCCCGGCUGUGCUGUGACCUCCCACGCAGGGACACUGGGCUGUCCUGCCCUGCUCCCCUCACCUUUCCUGAAGGCUGUGGCAGCUUCUCUGCGCCCCUGGCCGUCGCUGCUGGGUCGGUGGCCACUGCAGGGACAGAGGCUGGUCAGACAGGGAGGGAUUCAGCUGUCCUGGUGUGUUUUGCAACUGCCGGGCACAGCCCAAAAGGUCAGGAAUGUGCCAGGCUCCCUGCCAGGGACAGCGGGAGGUGACAUGGACAGCCAGAGUCGGUCACCUGCGCGGCCAGGGUGGCCCAGACCCCCAGGGCUGCAGUGCCCUGGAGCGGGGCUCCGUGGGGCUGUGGGCUGCUGGGCGCCUCCCCGAGUCCUGGAGUCCUCAGGCCAGGGGGAGCCCAUUGGCCCAGGCAUUUGGGACAGAAGUCAACAGCUCAGGGCGCCGGGCCCAGAAUGCAGCCCAGCCCUGCUGGCUGCCCCCCCCCCCGGGGUCCCAGGAGCAGCCCCCACACCCCAGGAAGCUGCGUGACUCCAGGGAAGCUGCUGCCCCCCUCUGGGAGCUGGGUCACCAUUGGCUCCAGGGUGGUCUGCGGGGUGCCAGAAACGGGGAUCACGGCAGGCAGUGGGAUGGGGGCGCAGUUUGCGGGGAGACAGGCUGCGUUCUGACCCCCCUCAUUGUGUCUGGCUCUCCAGAUUCCUGCCUCAGUUUCCCCAUCCUGUUCUGAAUGAUGGGAAAGCCGGGUGUCUAGUGAGGGGAUUCUGAUGUGUCCGAGGCACCCUCACAUAGCCGGGGGUCACCCCAGGGGUGUCCAGCGGAGUCUCCCCUGGACGGCGGUCACUCACCUUCAGCCUCAGGGCCAGGGGGACCUGCGGGGUCGGCGGGCGGCCUGGCUUCUCUCGAGGCACUGUGGGCCCCAGACACCAGGUUCCGGGCGGAGCUGAAGCCAGGCAGGGAGGCGAGGAAGCUGCCCAGGGUCUGCGGGGUGGCGGGCGGCGUGAGGGAGCCCCGGGUCCACCCCACCCCCGCUCCCGCUCCUGGCCCGAGCAGGCAGAGGGGAGGAGCAUUUCCUCCAGGCUCCCUCGCACAGAUGGGGAAACUGAGGCUCAGAGGUGGGGGCCACCCCUCCGGGCAGGCUCUGGGGGCUGCACGGCCGCCUCCCCACCCAGCCUGGGACAGAAGGGAGCUGGCUCGCACCCCACCAGGGGGGACCCAGGGCCCCACGGCUGUGGUCACCCCGAGGUCUGGGGUCUCAGGGUCCUCGCAGGGACCUCCCUUUCCUUUACCUUGCCCUUGGGUUUAGGGGCGCCCCGGCCCUCUUGCUCUGGAGCAGACAUGGCAGCAGUUAAGAGCUGGAAGGGGCAGAGAAGGGGUGUCAGUCCAGGCCCCCUCCCCACCGCAUGCCCGUGUGGCCCCGGCUGGCCCCGACACCCCGACACCCACCUGGGCCUGGCGUCCCCGGGCGGCUGAGCGCGGCUCGCAGGAGUCCCGGGCGCCCUGGAGGGAGACGCCGCAGCUGUCAGCUGGCCCUGCCCGCUCCCAGGCCUUAUAGGGUCCGGGUGGCCCAGCCAGGCUGGUGGAGGCAGGCGGCCAAGCAGCCAGCAGCCGGGGUGGG
ensembl:lincRNA